GACGAACGCUGGCGGCGUGCCUAAUACAUGCAAGUCGAACGGAGUGGCGCACGGGUGAGUAAUGUAUAGCUAAUCUGCCCUACACUAGAGGACAACCGUUGAAAACGACUGCUAAUACUCUAUAGUGUAGGAUGAGGCUAUAUUGUAUCAGCUAGUUGGUGAGGUAAUGGCUCACCAAGGCUAUGACACAUAACUGGUGUGAGAGGAUGAUCAGUAACAUUGGAACUGAGACACGGUUCAGGAUCCUACGGCAGGGAGCAGUAGGGAAUAUUGCUCAAUGGGGGAAACCCUGAAGCAGCAACGCCGAGUGGAGGAUGACACUUUUCGGAGCGUAAACUUCUUUUGUUAGGGAAGCGGUACCUAACGAAUAAGCACCGGCUAACUCCGUGCCAGCAGCCGCGGUAAUUC
rnacentral:rRNA from 1 species